GUUUUGAACUAGAAGUUUCAUAUGCGUUUUUAGAUGCUUCCUACUAUUACUCUAGAAAAAAGAUACCAAAGAGAGCAAUGGCAACACAGAUCAGUUACUUUAAAUUUCAUAUGUUGUGAAAAAUUUUGAAUCUCAGUUAGAAUUUCAUUACUUUAAAAUGCAAUUGUACAAAAAUAAUGUUAAAAUGCUACUUGAAAGAUUU
rnacentral:misc_RNA from 1 species